rnacentral:rRNA from 1 species
UACGUAGGGGGCUAGCGUUGUCCGGAAUCAUUGGGCGUAAAGCGCGUGUAGGCGGCCCGGUAAGUCCGCUGUGAAAGUCGGGGGCUCAACCCUCGGAUGCCGGUGGAUACUGUCGGGCUCGAGUACGGAAGAGGCGAGUGGAAUUCCUGGUGUAGCGGUGAAAUGCGCAGAUAUCAGGAGGAACACCAAUUGCGAAGGCAGCUCGCUGGGACGUAACUGACGCUGAGACGCGAAAGCGUGGGGGAGCAAACAGG